UGGCGGACGGGUGAGUAACGCGUAAGAACCUGCCCUUAGGAGGGGGACAACAGCUGGAAACGGUUGCUAAUACCCCAUAAGCUGAGGAGCAAAAGGAGGAAUCCACCUAAGGAGGGGCUUGCGCCUGAUUAGCUAGUUGGUGAGGCAAAGGCUUACCAAGGCGACGAUCAGUAGCUGGUCUGAGAGGAUGAUCAGCCACACUGGGACUGAGACACGGCCCAG
rnacentral:rRNA from 1 species